AAGGACUCUAAAGAAAAGGAUGCAGAGUUAAAAUAAUGUCAACAAAUGUAGUAAUGAGUGUGAGAGUGAUGUGAUGAUGUGUAUGAAUAAUAAAAGUAAAGAGAGAGUCUCACGGUGAGCGAGGAGUCCCAGUGUCCCCAGCAGUAGAAUCAGUACCAUCAUCAUUGUGCUGCGUGUCAGUGGCUCUGAAAGGACUGAACACACUCUGAUCAGCACUACAGCUCUUAAAGUGUGUGCAGCACUGACACAGCACACAUAUGCAAACACCACAACUGUGUGUGUGUGUGUGUGUGUGUGUGUGUGUGUGUGUGUGUGUGUGUGUGUGUGUGUGUCUGUGUGUGUGUCUGUGUGUGUGUGUGUGUGGUCACUGUAGUGUAACAGGGGUUUUUGUACGACGGUUUCAUUAGAAUGUAUCACUGUGGUGGACUUUCGGUGGAGGAACCAAACUCAUCGUGAAAACCGGUCCCACGGUGAAGCCCUCCGUGUCUCUGCUCCCUCCCUCCUCUCUGCAGCUGUCUGAGGGAUCGGCCUCGCUGCUCUGCCUGCUGUCUGCCUACUCUCCACAGGGGGCGCUGGUGAGCUGGACUGUGGACGGCUCAGAGGUGAAGGACGGGGUUCUGACCAGCGCUGAAGAACAGAAGAAGGACGGGUACACACGCAGCAGCACCCUGACCCUCAGCAAAGCAGUCUGGGAAAAGGGGGAGGAGUUUGUCUGUAAGGUCUCCCAUGACAACGUCGAUCAUCCGGUCACGUUCAGAAAGAGCCAGUGUGAAGUCUAACAGCUCCAAGAUAGAAUUGAACACUGAGCUGCUUACACAUCCAUCUACAAUAGAGUUUCAAUUCUACACAAUGCUGACAUUUCUGUCUUUACUCUCUUCACUGUCCUGUUGCUCUUCCUGUAGUUUUGCUCUGCUGAAAUAAAGCUUCAUUUUGGA